rnacentral:lncRNA from 1 species
AACCUGCUCAGCAGUGGCAACUGGGUCGGGUCCCCUUCCCCAUUGUGGAAGCUUUGUUCUUUUGCUCUUCACAAUAAAUCUUGCUGCUGCUCACUCCUUGGGUCCGCACUAUCUUUAUGAGCUGUAACACUCAGUGUGAGUUUCUGUGGCUUCAUUCCUGAAAUCAGCAAGACCACGAACCCACGGGGAGAAACGAACAACUCCGGAGGCGCCACCUUUAAGAGCUGUAACACUCACUGCAAAGGUCUGCAGCUCCACUCCUUAAGUCAGAGAGAUCACCAACCCACUGGAAGGAAGAAACUCUGGACACAUCUGAACAUCUGAAGGAACAAACUCUGGACACACCAUCUGUAAGAACUGUAACAUUCACUGCGAGAGUCUGCGGCUUCAUUCUUGAAGUGAGUGAGACCAAGAAUCCACCAGAAGGAACCAAUUCCAGACACAAUAGCAUGUUCUUCCCCUAAUAUUACUCACUGCCCUCCCAUGUGAAGCAAGAUAAAGAACAGGGUAUUCAAUUGACUCUGCUCUUCAUUUGGAGCUGUUGUUCACAGAUUGUAUGUAGAGUUUUUUUCAUUUGCAGAAGACUUGAAAUGCAUCAUACUUGAAAGAGAAAUUGGAC